GGCUCAGGAUAAACGCUGGCGGCGUGCUUAACACAUGCAAGUCGAACGGGGUGGUUCGUCCCGAGGAUUGACGGUGCUUGCACCUGAUUGACUCAUUGAAUCACUUAGUGGCGGACGGGUGAGUAACGCGUGGGAAACCUGCCCUAUACUGGGGGAUAGCAGUUGGAAACGACUGAUAAUACCGCAUAAGCGCACAGCAUCGCAUGAUGCAGUGUGAAAAACUCCGGUGGUAUAGGAUGGUCCCGCGUCUGAUUAGCUAGUUGGUGAGGUAACGGCCCACCAAGGCGACGAUCAGUAGCCGGCCUGAGAGGGUGUACGGCCACAUUGGGACUGAGACACGGCCCAAACUCCUACGGGAGGCAGCAGUGGGGAAUAUUGGACAAUGGGGGCAACCCUGAUCCAAGCGACGCCGCGUGAACGAAGAAGUAUCUCGGUAUGUAAAGUUCUAUCAGCAGGGAAGAUAAUGACGGUACCUGACUAAGAAGCACCGGCUAAAUACGUGCCAGCAGCGGC
rnacentral:rRNA from 1 species